AACGAACGCUGGCGGCAUGCCUAACACAUGCAAGUCGAACGAACCCUUCGGGUCUAGUGGCGCACGGGUGCGUAACGCGUGGGAACCUGCCCUUAGGUUCGGAAUAACUCCCCGAAAGGGGUGCUAAUACCGGAUAAUGUCUUCGGACCAAAGAUUUAUCGCCUUUGGAUGGGCCCGCGUUGGAUUAGCUAGUUGGUAGGGUAAAAGCCUACCAAGGCGACGAUCCAUAGCUGGUCUGAGAGGAUGAUCAGCCACACUGGGACUGAGACACGGCCCAGACUCCUACGGGAGGCAGCAGUGGGGAAUAUUGGACAAUGGGCGAAAGCCUGACGCAGCAAUGCCGCGUGAGUGAUGAAGGUCUUAGGGUUGUAAAGUUCUUUUACCCGGGAUGAUAAUGACAGUACCGGGAGAAUAAGCCCCGGCUAACUUCGUG
rnacentral:rRNA from 1 species